GCGGGUGCGCCACCGAUGGCGAGGUGGGGCGGCCUGUAAAGCCGUUGCGUUCAACGCUCAGGGGGUUCGAAUCCCUCCACCCGUA
rnacentral:tRNA from 1 species